AUCCAUUCAACCUGCGGGUUUAAAAGCACUGAGUAAGAGCAUUGAAAAGUUAUGGAAGACAACGUGUGCGUUUUUGUGUUGUUUGCUUUGCAAUAAUUUCCAUUAAUUGUGGCAUCCAAACUAUUCUCAGUGCAUAGAAGACGAGCAUACAACCUCCGAUUUUCCACUGGAUUUGAAUACAGAAAUUAAUAGCAGCGGAAUGAAUGGCAGUGUUGUCAACGGAAUCACUGCCUCUGGGGUUUAGAUUCAGGCCAACCGACGAAGAGCUCAUAAAUCACUACCUGAGACUCAAGAUUAACGGCCGGAAUUCUGAGGUCGAGGUUGUCCCCGAGGUCGAUGUUUGCAAAUGGGAGCCCUGGGAUUUGCCUGGGCUAUCGGUCAUUAAGACGGAUGAUCCGGAGUGGUUCUUCUUCUGCCCGCGUGACCGGAAAUAUCCCAAUGGUCAACGUUCGAACAGGGCAACGGACGCCGGCUACUGGAAAGCAACGGGCAAGGAUCGCACCAUAAGAGCUAGAAAGUCAGGCUCCAAUCCUAUCUCCAUUGGCAUGAAAAAGACCUUGGUUUUCUAUAGAGGCCGUGCUCCAAAGGGCGAGCGCACCAACUGGAUUAUGCACGAGUACCGCGCCACCGUUAAAUAUCUUGAUGGUUCUGCCCCUGGCCAGGGUUCUUUUGUCCUCUGUCGCUUGUUCCGAAAGCCAGAGGAGAAGAUUGACAUUGUAAAAUAUGAUGAAGUAGACCAAACUGGAUAUUCCCCUACCACUUCUAAGUCCUCUCCUGAGGACACAUCAUCAGAUCUAGUUCAAGAAACAACAUCAUCUGCCACGCAAGCAGGAAAACAAUAUGAAGGUAUAGCAAGGUGGCUGAUAGAUGAGUCAGUUAACAUGACCUCUAGUGCUGUGCUACCUGUUGAUAGCUGCUGCAAUAGUCAUUCAGAUGUUGAAGAUCAUGCGGGAGAAAUGACUGCUAUGAUGGUGCAUCAACCUCAGGAAGAAAAUUCUCAUCUAUUUGAGUCCACAUCUGGUGGAAUUGAUUGCAAAGUGUUCUCCCCAAUGCAAUCGCAUAUUCUUGCAGACCUAGCACCCUACAUGGAUUCUCCUUAUGCCGACUUUGGCAAUGAUCAUAAUGGUUUCCAUUUUCAGGAUGGCACUAGUGAACCUGAUGUCUCCUUAACAGAGUUGUUGGGUGAGGUCUUCAAUAAUAAUGAUGACUAUUCUGGUGAACAGUCUACGAGUCAAAAGAACUCGGCUGUUGGACUUGAAACUAAUUUUUCUAGUCAUAAGCCACUGGUUAACUUCCAUGUUAAGAAUAAUGGUACAUACAGUGAAGCUGACAUUGAUAAUGCUCAAGUCCAGAUGCAAGCAUCACUUGGAUCUUGGGGAGCUCAAUCAUCAUCCUUCCAUGGACAACUUGGAACUAGAAAUGUUUUGGGCGUUGCAAAUUCUGAUGUGCAAGAUGCUUCAUCUGCCAUUUCUGCAGUGGGCUCAUCUUUGGAUGUAUUCAAUAGUAUGGAUGAAUCAAGCAGGCAAAUGAAUCCUAUGAACCAGGGCAGUGCUGUCAGUGGAACUGGAAUCAAGAUUAGAACCCGCCGGCCUCAAGUGCAUCCAUAUGCAGAUAACUUUGUCACUCAAGGCAGCGCUCCAAGAAGGCUCCGUUUGCAGAGGGAAUUUUCUACUGUUUCUCCUGGAAGUAGAGCGGAGAGGGAUGCAAGUCAUCAAGAAGAAGAAGAAGAUGAAGUGCAGUCAGCUGUAACAAAGGCAAGAGAUGCAGAACACAAUCCUGAUUCAGAUAAGUUGCUGAUGAAAAGCCAACUGCACAUUUCUGACAAGAGCAUAGAAAUUGCUGAAGAAUCUUCUACAAAUUUGAGGUUAAGGGUGAAACAGGGUCGUAAAUGUGGCAGUGGCGAGAUAGGAGGGUCAGCAUUUCCUGAUGCAGCUCCUGUGAACCAUGGCCACAGCUCACCAUCAGUUUAUGUAGUUGGAGUUGUGCUAGCUUUUGUCUUGUUCAUAGUUCUUGUUGGAAUUUGGAGAUGCGAGUAAUGGAAUAGAGGAAACUUACUUGAUAAGAAGAAAGUGGUUUUACAGACUGCAUUUAGAUACUUGCGCAUAUGUAGCUUGGAGGUAGUAUAAAUGUGUGCAAUAUUGGAUGAAGGUCAUCUGCAACGUGUAGUCUUUGUUGGUUCAUCUUGUACAAAAUAUGCAAUUGACGUCGUCUGAUGGUUGGGUUUCAUGGAUUCCUGGAGCUAGGAAAAGUGUAAUUUGGCUUCUCUCCAAUCUCCAUAUUUUAAUCUCACUUGGCAUUAAAUUUAUGGGCUAAUGCUCAUAGUAUCAAAUUGUGGGAUAGCGCGGAAGUGCUGAAGUUCACGGCUAGUAUCAAAUUGGCUAUCCAUUCAUCGAGGGUACUAUAGUGUUUUCUUAUUUGUCUAUCCUGAUAUGAUAUGCUUGGGAAUAAUAAAAUAAUAGUAAAAUAUUUAGAAAUUGC
rnacentral:misc_RNA from 1 species